rnacentral:rRNA from 1 species
UACGUAGGGCGCAAGCGUUGUCCGGAAUUAUUGGGCGUAAAGAGCUCGUAGGCGGUGUGUCGCGUCGGCCGUGAAAACCUGCAGCUUAACUGUGGGCUUGCGGUCGAUACGGGCAUCACUGGAGUUCGGCAGGGGAGACUGGAAUUCCUGGUGUAGCGGUGAAAUGCGCAGAUAUCAGGAGGAACACCGGUGGCGAAGGCGGGUCUCGUGGGCCGAUACUGACGCUGAGGAGCGAAGCGUGGGAGCGAACAGG